UGGGGAAUAUUGCACAAUGGGCGCAAGCCUGAUGCAGCGACGCCGCGUGGGGGAUGACGGCCUUCGGGUUGUAAACUCCUUUCGCCAGGGACGAAGCGUUUUGUGACGGUACCUGGAGAAGAAGCACCGGCUAACUACGUGCCAGCAGCCGCGGUAAUACGUAGGGUGCAAGCGUUGUCCGGAAUUACUGGGCGUAAAGAGCUCGUAGGUGGUUUGUCACGUCGUCUGUGAAAUUCCACAGCUUAACUGUGGGCGUGCAGGCGAUACGGGCUGACUUGAGUACUGUAGGGGUAACUGGAAUUCCUGGUGUAGCGGUGAAAUGCGCAGAUAUCAGGAGGAACACCGAUGGCGAAGGCAGGUUACUGGGCAGUUACUGACGCUGAGGAGCGAAAGCAUGGGUAGCAAACAGGAUUAGAUACCCUGGUAGUCCAUGCCGUAAACGGUGGGCGCUAGGUGUAGGGACCUUUUGGGGUUUCUGUGCCGUAGCUAACGCAUUAAGCGCCCCGCCUGGGGAGUACGGCCGCAAGGCU
rnacentral:rRNA from 1 species